AUUGAACGCUAGCGGGAUGCUUUACACAUGCAAGUCGAACGCGUGGCGGACGGGAGAGAUAUCUAUCGGACCGCGCCCUGUAGCGGGGGAUCACUACUAAAAAGUGUGGAUAAUCCCGCAUAAUAAUGGAGCGGCCGAUGUCGGAUUAGCUAGUUGGUGGGGUAAAGGCUCACAAAGGCAACGCUCCGUAGCUGGUUUGAGAGGACGACCAGCCACACUGGGACUGAGACACGGCCCAGACUCCUACGGGAGGCAGCAGUGGGGAAUUUUGGACAAUGGGGGAAAGCCUGAUCCAGCCAUGCCGCGUGUAUGAGAAGGCCUUCGGGUUGUAAAGUACUUUUGGCAGGGAAGCGGUAUCUGCAGAAGAAGCACCGGCUAACUACGUGCCAGCAGCCGCGGUAAUUC
rnacentral:rRNA from 1 species